rnacentral:rRNA from 1 species
GAUGAACGCUGGCGGCGUGCCUAAUACAUGCAAGUCGAGCGAACGGACGAGAAGUUUGUUUCUUUGAUGUUAGCGGCGGACGGGUGGGUAACAUGUGGAAAACCUACCUAUAAGACUGGGAUAAUCUCGGGAAACCGGAGCUAAUACCGGAUGAUAUUUUGAACCGCAUGGUUCAAAAGUGAAAGACGGUCUUGCUGUCACUUAUAGAUGGAUCCGCGCUGCAUUAGCUGGUUGGUAAGGUAACGGCUUACCAAGGCAACGAUGCAUAGCCGACCUGAGAGGGUGAUCGGCCACACUGGAACUGGAACACGGUCCAGACUCCUACGGGAGGCAGCAGUAGGGAAUCUUCCGCAAUGGGCGAAAGCCUGACGGAGCAGCGCCGCGUGAGUGAUGAAGGUCUUCGGAUCGUAAAACUCUGUUAUUAGGGAAGAACAUAUGUGUAAGUAACUGUGCACAUCUUGACGGUACCUAAUCAGAAAGCCACGGCUAACUACGUG